AGGUAAGCAAGACGUGCCUAACACAUGCAAAUCGAAUGAAAAGAAUUAAUUAUUGUUUUCAUGGUGAACGGGUGAGUAACACAUAAGAAUCAGCUUUUAGAUAAGGCAUAAAAGAGUAAUAUCUUGGCAAUUCCUUAUAUGCGCAGCAGUGCUUAAAAAGGGGAGUCCCGUCUAAAAACGAGCUUAUGCCUGAUUAGCUAGUUGGCGAGUUAAAAGCUCACCAAGGCGAAGAUCAGUAGCUGGCCUGAGAGGGCGGCCAGCCACAUUGGGACUGAGACACGGCCCAAACUCCUACGGGAGGCAGCAGUGGGGAAUCUUCUGCAAUGGGCGCAAGCCUGACAGAGCGGCGUCGUGUGAAGGAAGAAGGCCUGAAAUAGGUUGUAAACUUCUUUUACUGAAUAAUGAAUAAUGACAACGCAGUAAAAAAGUAUCGGCUAACUCCGUGCCAGCAGCCGCGGUAAUACGGGGGAUGCAAGCGUUAUCCGGAAUCACUGGGCGUAAAGCGUCUGUAGGUGGUUUAGUGUGUUCUUAGUUAAAUUCUGAAGCCUAACUUCAUGAAAAGUAAGAAAACUAUUAGACUUGAGUACGAUAGGGGUAAGAGGAAUUCUUCGAGAAGUAGUGAAAUGCGAAGAUACGAAGGAGAAGAUCAUAAGCGAAGGCUUCUUACUGGGUCGUAACUGACACUGAGAGACGAAAGCUAGGGGAGCGAAUGGGAUUAGAUACCCCAGUAGUCCUAGCUGUAAACGAUGGAUAUUCGGUGCCGGAAAUUUUAUUAGAACAUUUCGGUACCCUAGCUAACGCGUUAAAUAUCCCGCCUGAGGAGUACGCUCGCAAGGGUGAAACUCAAUGAAUUGACGGAAGGGC
rnacentral:rRNA from 1 species